UUCACCAAGGUGAAUUUCAAACACAGCUGAAGAAGCUGAUUGUAGAAUUGAUUCUAUUUUUUUUUUUAUUAUAUACAGUAUAUAGAGAAAGAGAGAGAGAUUUCUUUUUUUUUUUUUUUUGAGCAGUAGGUUAGAAAUUUUACAGCCAUGACAUAAUGGCUGUAAAAACUCCCCUAAAUUCUGACCAUCGCUAACAGUGACUGUCUGCAUCGUCAUUUCAGAAAUUGCAUUGACUUACCACGGCAUUCCUCAUCAUCACAGCUACUUGUCUCAGAUUGAUCUAGGAUUUGGGAUAUCUAUUUCUAAAGAGAAGUUUGCCAUGGUUAACCUUAAUAAAAGGAAAAUAAAAGGAAAAUGACAAGAAAUAUGAUGGAACUUCUCUUUUCAAAAGAGGAAAUGGCUACUUCUUGAGUGACUGGAAGGAAGUCAAACACUAAAGAAAAUGCUGUUAUGAAACACUCUGUGCAAAAAUAGAGUUUUUGCAGUUAUUGGAAAACGGAAUCAAGACAAGGAUGCAAGCUGCAAGCGAGUCAAUGACCACAAGCAACGAGGCUGAAGGACGGUCGUAAAACUUAGACACUGUCCUCAGACAAACCAGUCUGGGUCUGCUGUACACCUAAAACCACAGUUUCCAAAAGAAACUGUGCCCUGCUACCUGUGUAGUUAAAACAUUCAGCGAAGAGGACAGAGCGGACGGGUGCUGUUCUGGAUCCUAUACCGAGGACUGAAGACUUUGUUGCAGCUGUUUGUUGAUUAUCGAGAAUUGAAAGCUUUGUUGCCAAGUUUGAUCCAAUGUAGGAUUGCAGACUGUUGCGGAGAGGAGAGCUUUUGAACUGGACACUUCAACAGAUUGAGUUUCCGAGCCAGCAGACCAAAAGUCUAAGCUUCAAGGAACUGUUGAGUAUAAUUCCAGUUGCAUUUUCCUUUCCUUUUAAUUGUAACACAUUCACAUAGAAUUGAACUGUUAAUUUAGUUUGCACACUUUUCAUAUGGAAUAACUUUUUGUGAAACUUGAUGACGCAACUAUAAGUAAUCUACCUCAUAUUGUUGUAUGAAGAAUUUCUUGCCAUAUACUUAAUCUAUAUACCAUUAAUAAGCUUAAUGUGAUAUAUUCUAAGAUUGUCUGCAUCAUCUCAGUUGAGGCUGUGUGCUUGGAUGUAGGCGUGUGUGUGUUUGAGCAAGCUACUAUGUCACAGCCUACCUGCUUGAAUGAGUGCUUCUGGUGUGUGAGGAGUCAGGCGGUGUAAUAUUUCAAUUGCCUGCUAGUCAAGUUAAGACAGUGAGAGUUUUUUAAUUGUGUUUUGUGCUUAGAGACGAAGACAUUUACUUUUGACUUUUCUGAUUUCUGUUUAUUAUUUUGUGUACUUAAUAAAAUACUACUAUUGAUUAAACAUUCCUUGUGUCUAAGCGUGAAUGUGUGUUCAUAGUAAAUCCUCAAUCUUUCUUUGUAACACGUCAAUUAAAUAUUAUUAAUAAGAGAACUAUCAACCCUGAUACACAUUAAAUGAUCAAUUAUUGAAUUGUUCCGACAGUAGAGAGGCUGUUCGGUUGGCUGCCACUCCGUGUGGGCACACAAAUAGGCUAGCUGUCUAUUAUACUAAACUGUGCUAAAGGCAAUCCUUAACCAAUACAAUAGUUUCAAUUGGGAUCACACAACUACAAAACGCUGUGUGGAAACCGAUCAAAUUGCAAAUCAACCUUUAUUCAGUUUAACCACACUCACCUGGUACUAAUCACAAACAGAAGAUAACCUAAUUAAAACACCACCUUUAUAAUGUUACUUAAAUAUAGCUAAUGUUAAGAGUUGGAGUGAGGCCUAUAGUAGCCACUGGGAAGGAUUUUGGAAAG